rnacentral:lncRNA from 1 species
AUGAGCCACAGUCCAGCUGCCCUGUGUUUACUACUUUCUUUCCCUGCUUCACUUAGUCUGAACUUAGAAAAUGUUCCUGUGCCUGCCUGGGCUUUUCAUACAUCAGUACUCUUCCCUGGGGCUUAUAUUUUAUUAUAUAAGCAAGAGUUGAUUUUACACAGUCCUCAAGUUCUCAUCUUCAUUCCUUCUCCCAGAGGCCCACCAACCAAGUUUACACAAAGAAACUAUAGUGAGUCUCUACUAAGUCACCUCCCCAACACUAAUGCCAUAUAUGGACAAUUUAUGAAUUAAAAAAUAAACUGGUGAACACCAAAUUUGUAAGGUAAGUUUCUGAAUCCCCGGCAUCUCUGUUUCUUUACUCUAAUGUUUAGCUUUGGAAACUAAUCAAGAGAGAUUAGUUGAGUUCCUGCUAUGAGAGAAUCAUGGAUGAGCUGCCAUUUAAAAUGAACAGAAAACAGGCUGGAAAGAACACUGGCUGGAGUCCUGCUUUUCUCCCAAAUGAGUCGACUUUGAUAAAUUACUUAGCUUCCUCAGGCCUAGUAUUCUCAUUAGGAAAAUGGCAGUAAAAAUGUCUUCCCUUUCUACAGCACAGUUUAUCAGGAUCAAAUGAGACAUAAUGUGUGAGGGUGUUUAUUUUGUAAAGCACAAAGAACUUGACAAAAUUUAAGUAAGUUUUAUAUUAAAUCUAAUUAAGUGCGUGAUGCCUUAGACACUCUGUCAUCUCUUGGAAGCAUUGGCAGCGAAGAUGAGUCAUUGAAAAAAAUGUUUUAAUAAAAUGAGGAUAAUAAUAAUAGUACUUAGAGUACACACAAUAAAUAUGAAUACUUUGGCCACCUAGGAUAGAUCAGAAUAUGGAUCCCACUGCCACUUGCCUCUAAGCAAUGCUUGCUGUGUAUUCCCUCUGCUUUCCUCUUAUCUCUUUCUUUUCCUCCAGCCAUUCCUCAGUUCUUGUUUGUCAUGCCCUUGACUGGCUGGCAUUCCAUUCAAGAUUAUUGGCUUUGAUAUAGUGUCUUGCUUUGUAGUUUUUAUUAAACUGCCUUGCCUUCAAAAUAUCAUAUGCCACAUUUUCAAAAGCCUAAAUACGUAGUUUAUUAACCUGAUGAAUGGCAAACAUUGAACAAAUUCCUGUAAUUGAGCUGAAUUGAUUGAAGUGUAAAUGGAAGACCUUGACUUUGAUGUCAGUGUAUCCUAAUGACCUUCUUCAUGGAUAGAACCUUCAGAACUUUUCCCCAGAGGUGAGAAAUGAGAAGUUCACCUUUUUUGGCUAGCAGACUGUUUUGUGUGACUUAAAACUUGGUCUAAAAAUUGACUAGUUGCCAAUAUUUUUAAAUGAAUAUAUAUCAUAAAGUUCCGUCUGACUAUCUUGAAAUAUCAGAACAUAUGGUGAUAUUGCAUCCUCCAUAGCAAGCAUGGUGGUGACAGAGGCAGGGGAGCAGCGGAGCUGGUUUCUUUAGAAGAAUAAACUAUGUUCAGUACUAGGAUCCCCACCCAUUUCACUUGAUUUAUUUAUGUCAUUUUGUAUGGCCCCUAUAGGACCUGAGUUUGUGACUCUCGAUAAACCGACAGAAAUAACCUAAUUAAAUCUUAUCUCAUAACCAGUUAGUCAUGGGUGAAAUCAUGGACAGAUGGUUUAAGGUGAACAUAUGUUGUUGAUCUGUUUCUCUUAUUUCAUUAACCAUUUUGCCAGCAUUUUAAACAGUCUAAUCAUAUGUCACAAACUAUAACUGGAGAAACAGUUUAUAAGGGGGAAAAUCUAGAGUUUUGUUGAGCUAUAUUAUUUUCAAAUUUGAAAGGAAAGCUGCUUUGAGUUUGAUUGGCAGUUCAAAGUAGAGUUUUUCCAGCUCAAUAAAUGUGAGUCCUAGGCAUGUUCCAAACUCCCCACCUGCCACAUUCCUAUGAUUUCAGAAUACUGCAAAGGGCAUCUCUGGCGAGGUUUUUACAGCAUUUAGUUAUGGAAAGUAAAAGGCCUCUCAUGAAAUGUCACCAUAAGUGAUAUAUUAGAGGCAAAGAAGAGAAGACUUAUCAACUUAAC